UUGAUGCUAUGAUGACUGCAUAGUUCAGCAGAUUGUCUGUGAAGAAAAAAAUAUUUUGUCUUUCACCCCUAUCUGAUGUGUCAG